UGCAAGUCGAACGCGAAAGCGGGGCAACCCGCAAGUAGAGUGGCGAACGGGUGAGUAAUACAUCGGAACGUAUCCAGUAGCGGGGGAUAACCUGUCGAAAGAUAGGCUAAUACCGCAUACGAUCUACGGAUGAAAGCGGGGGACCGCAAGGCCUCGCACUAUUGGAGCGGCCGAUGUCGGAUUAGCUAGUUGGUGGGGUAAAAGCUUACCAAGGCGACGAUCCGUAGCUGGUCUGAGAGGACGAUCAGCCACACUGGAACUGAGACACGGUCCAGACUCCUACGGGAGGCAGCAGUGGGGAAUUUUGGACAAUGGGCGCAAGCCUGAUCCAGCCAUGCCGCGUGAGUGAAGAAGGCCUUCGGGUUGUAAAGCUCUUUCGGCGGGGACGAAACGGUUCGGGUUAACAACCCGGACUACUGACGGUACCCGCAUAAGAAGCACCGGCUAACUACGUGCCAGCAGCCGCGGUAAUACGUAGGGUGCAGGCGUUAAUCGGAAUUACUGGGCGUAAAGCGUGCGCAGGCGGUCUGUUAAGACAGGUGUGAAAUCCCCGGGCUUAACCUGGGAAUUGCGCUUGUAACUGGCAGGCUAGAGUGUGGCAGAGGGGGGUGGAAUUCCACGUGUGGCAGUGAAAUGCGUAGAUAUGUGGAGGAACACCGAUGGCGAAGGCAGCCCCCUGGGUCAACACUGACGCUCAUGCACGAAAGCGUGGGGAGCAAACAGGAUUAGAUACCCUGGUAGUCCACGCCCUAAACUAUGUCAACUAGUUGUCGGGGAAGAAAUUCCUUGGUAACGAAGCUAACGCGUGAAGUUGACCGCCUGGGGAGUACGGCCGCAAGGUUAAAACUCAAAGGAAUUGACGGGGACCCGCACAAGCGGUGGAUUAUGUGGAUUAAUUCGAUGCAACGCGAAAACCUUACCUACCCUUGA
rnacentral:rRNA from 1 species